GGAUAGCGCAGCUGACUAGAGCGUGGUGCUGGUAACACCAAGGUUACAGGUUUAAUCCCUGUAAGAAACA